GACAAACGCUGGCGGCGUGCUUAACACAUGCAAGUCGAACGGUACUCCUACGGGAGUAUAGUGGCGGACGGGUGAGUAACACGUAGCUAAUCUACCCUGAUGUGGGGAAUAACCCCUCGAAAGAGGAGCUAAGACCGCAUAAGUUCUCUCUUGUUAGAGAGAGAAGAAACUUUGGCAGUGAAAAGCCAGAGGCGUUAGGAUGAGGCUGCGGCGGAUUAGCUAGAUGGNGGGUAAAAGCCUACCAUGGCGACGAUCCGUAGCUGGUCUGAGAGGACGACCAGCCACACUGGGACUGAGACACGGCCCAGACUCCUACGGGAGCAGCAGUGAGGAAUACUCCACAAUGGGCGCAAGCCUGAUGGAGCGACGCCGCGU
rnacentral:rRNA from 1 species